UACGGAGGGGGCGAGCGUUGUUCGGAAUCAUUGGGCGUAAAGGGCGCGUAGGCGGCCGAUCAAGUCGGAGGUGAAAUCCCUCAGCUUAACUGGGGAACUGCGUCCGAUACUGGAUGGCUUGAGUUUGGGAGAGGGAUGCGGAAUUCCAGGUGUAGCGGUGAAAUGCGUAGAUAUCUGGAGGAACACCGGUGGCGAAGGCGGCAUCCUGGACCAAUACUGACACUGAACAGCGAAAGCCAGGGGAGCAAACGGG
rnacentral:rRNA from 1 species